AACCCGUUCUCGGGUACUUUAUGUCUGGGCUACACACGUGCUACAAUGGCGGUGACAGUGGGAAGCUAGAUGGCGACAUCGUGCUGAUCUCUAAAAGCCGUCUCAGUUCGGAUUGCACUCUGCAACUCGAGUGCAUGAAGGUGGAAUCGCUAGUAAUCGCGGAUCAGCAUGCCGCGGUGAAUACGUUCCCGGGCCUUGUACACACCGCCCGUCACACCAUGGGAGUUGGUUUGACCUUAAGCCGGUGAGCGAACCCGCAAGGGGCGCAGCCGACCACGGUCGGGUCAGCGACUGGGGUGAAGUCGUAACAAGGUAGCCGUAGGGGAACCUGCGGUUGGAUCACCUCCUAA
rnacentral:rRNA from 1 species